ACCCCUACACGAAAGGGCAGAGAGGCUGUUUCCAAUCGACCCUCGGCUCAGUGAAGGGAAGGAACAACAAAAACACAAACAAAAACAAAAACAAAAGAGCAUUAGUAACUCCAGCAGAAAUAGCGUAAAUAAUUAUCUAAACAUAAGAACCAUAAAUAAAAUAGCAUGCAAUAAUAUCAUACAGUAACUACCAUAAAUAACUUCCAUAAGGGAGACACAAUCCAAUACACAAAUCAUCUAUGGAUAGCCCUGCCAAGCCUCACCCAACUCCGGG
rnacentral:lncRNA from 1 species